GAACGUGGGACAGCAGGGGGGACACGGGGGAGGCUCUCGGAGGGCAGUUUCCAUUUUAGGCGUCUCUUCUCCACGUCUGGCUGGGACAGCCGUCCCCGCCUGGAGGGCCCCGGACGGGGCGCCGUCCUCCGCCUGUGUGUGGCGAGGCUGUGCCUCGGGGCUCACGGUCCCUUUCUCUCCUGCAGCCCCCCUCUUUGUAAGUCCCCACCCUUGCCCAGUGCCCUACCCUACCUGUCCCCAGCACCCCUGCAAAGUGGGAAUGGGAACGACAGGACCUUCCCUUGGUUUGUAUCCAAGGCUGCCACGUUCAGCAUUGUAGCCUGGGGCUGUGUUUUUCUUCUUCUUCUUCUCAUACUUCCUGUAUGAGGUUAGUUUUUUUAAAAUGAUAAACAAACUAUUUUUUUAAAACUUUUUUUUUUUGACCUGGUCAUGUGUUGCCAGCUACCUAUCCGUCUGUGAGCCUUCAGCUGUCAGCCCCCUACCUGUUCACCACCGGGAGUGAGCGGGGCUCCAAAGCAGAGGGGGUCUGUGCUCCCCUCUCCUCUCAGAGUGGCAGUCAGGUAAAGGCAUGCUCUAGUCUCCUAUUUGAGAGCAACACCAAUAGACAUCAUGGCUCAAGGAUUCUCCCCAGGCAGAGAGCGUGGGGGAGAGGAAGGCUAUGUGUGGGAGGAGAGGGCUUGGCCAGGAAAGAGAUGUGAUGUGGUGGGGGAUUCCCGGGUACAGGUGUAGAAUCCCACGGUGUCAGUCCCACGCUCUGCAGAUGCACAGCGUCUGGGAAAGAGGAUUAUGGAAUGAGCUGUGCCGGCCUUUCUUCCCAGGUCACCCCAGACCGUGCUGCCAGUCUCAGCUGGCUUCGGGGCUGCCGGUUCUCUCCUCCCACUGCGGCGUGUCAGGGCAGAGCCAUCCCGUGAGGAGCCUGGGGACAGCUGACCAAACAGAGAGCAUCAGUAGACAGCUGAGCUGCCAUGGUCAUGGUCGUGGUCAUGAGCCCACAGCCCAGGAUCACUUGCCAUUGAAUAACUGGGAGAUGAAACAGGAAACUUUAUGACACACUUGCUUGAAAAUGACACAGGACUCAGCCCCUCUGCAUCACCUCUACCUGCUGCCCACAGCCGAGUGCGGGGGAAGGGCUGGCCCUGGGACCUGAUUCCAACCGCCGUGGACUCGACAUUCAGUGUGAUGUGUCUGCCAUACUGUGGUCAUGGGCUAGUCUGGUCGGUUUCCUAUGUAGCUGGCCACUCUCAGUGUAUCUUUGCCCCUUUUCCUUCAUUAAAAGCAU
rnacentral:lncRNA from 1 species